UGCAGGCAUGCGCGGGAACUUUCUCAGGUCGUCCGCAAGGAUGGCAGCCCCUAGUGGGUGGGAUCCUGAGACCCGGGGCCUGCUUUUUU
rnacentral:sRNA from 12 species